UGGCUCAGAACGAACGCUGGCGGCAGGCUUAAUACAUGCAAGUCGUGGGGCAGCAGGGGCGUAGCAAUACGUUCGCUGGCGACCGGCAAACGGGUGCGGAACACGUACACAACCUUCCUUAAAGUGGGGGAUAGCCCGGGGAAACCCGGAUUAAUACCCCGUAACAUAGUGAAGUGGCAUCUCUUUACUAUUAUAGCAGCAAUGCGCUUAAAGAUGGGUGUGCGACUGAUUAGGCAGUUGGCGGGGUAACGGCCCACGCGAACCUACGAUCAGUAACUGGUGUGAGAGCACGACCAGUCACACGGGCACUGAGACACGGACCCCACUCCUACGG
rnacentral:rRNA from 1 species